rnacentral:rRNA from 1 species
GAUGAACGCUGGCGGCGUGCCUAAUACAUGCAAGUCGAGCGAACAGACGAGGAGCUUGCCCCUCUGACGUUAGCGGCGGACGGGAGAGUAACACGUGGAUAACCUACCUAUAAGACAGGGAUAACUUCGGGAAACCGGAGCGAAUACCGGAUAAUAUAUUGAACCGCAUGGUGCAAUAGUGAAAGACGGUUUUGCUGUUUCUUAUAGAUGGAUCCGCGCCGGAUUAGCUAGUUGGUAAGGUAACGGCUUACCAAGGCGACGAUGCGUAGCCGACCUGAGAGGGUGAUCGGCCACACUGGAACUGAGACACGGUCCAGACUCCUACGGGAGGCAGCAGUAGGGAAUCUUCCGCAAUGGGCGAAAGCCUGACGGAGCAACGCCGCGUGAGUGAUGAAGGUCUUCGGAUCGUAAAACUCUGUUAUUAGGGAAGAACAAAUGUGUAAGUAACUAUGCACGUCUUGACGGUACCUAAUCAGAAAGCCACGGCUAACUACGUG